CAGAAUGUCAAACAUGGCAUGAUUAUGACUUCCCUGCAGGAAUAAAGUACAGAAGUUGGGCUGUGAGGGAGACAGCUCUUAUCAAAGUACACCUUUUCAUACAUUUAACAACAGAAGAAUGACUAGGUGGGAUUUGAAUCAACAAUACCACGAUUUGAGCACCAAAUCCCUAGCACAAGGAGUUUCCUUGGCAACAUAAAAGUGAUGCCUUUCAGCUGUAACAUGCUUUGUCAUAUUGGUGCUUUUUCAAAGGAAAACACAUAAUUUGUAAUGCUAAAUACUGAAUAAAGUUAGACUUAAAGACA